GGUGUCAUGGUGUAGCGGUUAUCACGUCUCCUUUACACGCAGAAGGUCCUGAAUUCGAUCCUCAGUGAAACCA